rnacentral:rRNA from 1 species
GUCCACGCCGUAAACGAUGAGUGCUAAGUGUUGGAGGGUUUCCGCCCUUCAGUGCUGCAGCUAACGCAUUAAGCACUCCGCCUGGGGAGUACGACCGCAAGGUUGAAACUCAAAGGAAUUGACGGGGGCCCGCACAAGCGGUGGAGCAUGUGGUUUAAUUCGAAGCAACGCGAAGAACCUUACCAGGUCUUGACAUCCUUUGAUCACUCUAGAGAUAGAGCUUCCCCUUCGGGGGCAAAGUGACAGGUGGUGCAUGGUUGUCGU